UAUUGAUAUGUGGGCUGUGCAUGUGACACCCAGCAAUCUGGCUUCAUGGACAACAUAUAUUCCCAGGACAUGCAGAGUAUGGCAGGGGGGAUCCCAAAGAAAGUCAAGUCGACACAGAUUUCAAGAGGCAAGAGGGAAUUCAGAGUUCAGUGUGAAGGAAAGAAGGAAAGAGACUGGUGCCAUUCUGCUGGGUGUGGUGACCCUAAACCCCGGGGGAGUAAUGACGUUGUUGGCAUGUUGAGAAUCACUGCCCUGGACUGGCAGAGAUGGGAGUUUGUUGUCAGUAGAGCCAAGAAAACCAUCAGCUCUCUGGGUCAUAUGGUUCCUCUGAGCCACCUUGUCCUCCAGCCUGCUUGCAGACUUUUACUUCGUGAACCUUUGCCACCGACGAGAAACCUAAGCUCCUGAGGCACCCACAGGACCGAGGAGGAAAUUCUGCCAAAAGGGAGAUGUCAGGCAAGGAACGCGGGGGCCACUCUUUGCUCUGCACUCCAUGUUUUAUAAGCCACAUGAUACUGGUCUAAACUUGAUGGAAAUGAAGGCCUAGUUCAGUGUGAUAAGGUUCUGAAAACAUCACUUGUGACAAAUGCUGGAAAUGAAGUUGAACACUCAGAAGAAUACUGAAGCAACCAGAUCUGGGCAAAUAAGGAACAGUAGAAGCCGCCCGUCAACCUGAUAGUUAUAUGAGCCUUUCUCAUCAGCCACCAAGAAUUUUAUGGAGCAGCCAACUUUCCUGGUGGGGGGAGCGACAGACUGGAGGGCACCAAGUGCAAGUUUAUGGGAGCCAUAGAGAAAAAUGGUGCCCGAGUUUUUUCUUUCCCUUUUUUCCCUCCACCUCCCCUUUUUGUUUAGCUUAGCUCGUUCUGAAGUGUACCAUAGAGAAGGCCUUGAUUAUCAAAUGUAAUAUUCACGUAAGAUUGUGCUGUUCAGCCUCAUAUUGGGGGAGUAUACAGGGCUUCAGUGUUCCUUAAUAAAUUACCUCUUCGUGUAGCA
rnacentral:lncRNA from 12 species